CGCGUAGGCGGCUUUUUAAGUCGGAUGUGCAAUCCCCGAGCUUAACUUGGGAACUGCAUCCGAGACUGGGAGGCUAGAGUACUGGAGAGGUUGGUGGAGUUCCACGUGUAGCGGUGAAAUGCGUAGAGAUGUGGAGGAACACCAGUGGCGAAGGCGGCCAACUGGACAGUAACUGACGCUGAGGCGCGAAAGUGUGGGGAGCAAACAGGAUUAGAUACCCUGGUAGUCCACACUGUAAACGAUGAACACUUGGUGUGUCGGGAGUUGACCCCCGACGUGCCGGAGCUAACGCGUUAAGUGUUCCGCCUGGGGAGUACGGUCGCAAGGCUGAA
rnacentral:rRNA from 1 species